UACGGAGGGUGCGAGCGUUGUCCGGAAUCACUGGGCGUAAAGGGCGCGUAGGCGGUCUGCUAAGCGUGCGGUGAAAGCCUGGGGCUCAACCCCAGGUCUGCCGUGCGAACUGGUGGACUAGAGCACUGUAGAGGCAGGUGGAAUUCCGGGUGUAGCGGUGGAAUGCGUAGAGAUCCGGAAGAACACCGGUGGCGAAGGCGGCCUGCUGGGCAGUUGCUGACGCUGAGGUGCGAAAGCGUGGGGAGCAAACAGG
rnacentral:rRNA from 1 species